CUCUUACAGAAAUUAUUGUAAGUAAAGCCUGCUCAAUGAAUUUAAAUAGCCGCAACACUGUGCUAAGGUAGCAAAAUCAAUAGUUUAUUAAUUAUAAACCAGUAUGAAAGGUAUCAUGAUUGAUUAAUAGUAUCACUAAACAAUUACGAAAUUACUAUAAAUGUAAAAAUCCAUUUACAAAAAAAAAAGACGAUAAGACCCUAUUGAACUUUACUUAAAGUUUAGUUGGGGCAACUAACCAAAAAAAUUUUAGUAAAUACUAACUAAUAAAUUGAACCAUUAUUAAAUGAUCAUAUGAACAAGUUACCAUAGGGAUAACAGCGUAACAUUAUUUUAAAGCUCUUAUUAAAAAUAUUUUUGCGACCUCGAUGUUGAAUGAUAUUAUCUAACACACGCAACAGUAUGAAAAGAAAGUCUGUUCGACUUUUAAUAUAUCACA
rnacentral:rRNA from 1 species